rnacentral:rRNA from 1 species
GAGAGGCCCAAACGUUAUUCGGAAUUACUGGGCUUAAAGAGUUCGUAGGCGGUAUGGAAAGUAGGGUGUGAAAGCCCUCGGCUCAACCGAGGAAUUGCGCUCUAAACUGCCGUACUUGAGGAAGCUAGAGGUGAGCAGAACUGAUGGUGGAGCGGUGAAAUGCGUUGAUAUCAUCAGGAAUACCGGAGGCGAAGGCGGCUCACUGGGGCUUUUCCGACGCUGAGGAACGAAAGCCAGGGUAGCGAACGGGAUUAGAUACCCCGGUAGUCCUGGCCGUAAACGAUGAGCACUAGGCCGGAGGGCUGCACAGCUUUUCGGCCGUAGCUAAAGUGUUAAGUGCUCCGCCUGGGGAGUAUGGUCGCAAGGCUG